UGUAACGCCAUGAGGUAGAACCCCGGAACUAUUCUCCGGACUCUCAGCCGCUCCUCCAGCACUAUGUCUGCCUGCACACCGCCACGCUCCCCACCAUGGCGACAACGGACUGAACGAACCUCUGAAACUGAUCACCUCCAGAGGACCAAGGUCGAGUCCCAGCAUCCACAUGGCAGCCCUCAGCCGUCUGCCUCCAGUCCCAGCAAGGAGGUUUAAAGGAGACUCAACCAACCAUCGCGGCAAUUCUCACCACACCCCAAAUACAGGCUACUGCCUGUGUACAGCCGACAACCCGUGCGCGUGUCCACAGGUUGGUAGUCCAGAUGAGAAAGUACAACUACAUUCAGUUAUGAAAUAAAUAGAUUCUGGAGGUCCAGCAUGAAGGACCAUGACCAGCGCACACUGGGAAGAAAACACACACACACACUAUUAGGAAGUGCGGCCCUUGUUGGAGGAAGCGUGUUGCUGUGGAGGUGAGCUUUGAGGUCUCACAUAUGCCAUGCCCAGUGUCCCAGACCACUUCCUGUCACCUGCAAGUCAAGACAUAGGACUCUCAGAUACUUCUCCAGCACCGUGUUGCACCAAGAUGAUAAUGGACUAAACCUCUGAAAAAUCCUCGGUCUCCUGCUUGAGAAGUAAAGUAGAGAGGGCUUUACACUGGGCGAGCGAGAAGCAGCAUGGACGGCGGGGCCACGAGAGGUUAUGAAACAGCCGGAAGCCACGGUGAAGCGGGACGCGGGAACAUCUGGAAGCCUCGGUCUCCUCUGCUUGAGAAGUAAGGUAGAGAGAGCUUUAUACUGGGCGAGCGAGAAGCAGCACGAGAUGGUUAUGAAACAGCCAGAAGGAAGCCUCUGGGCCAAGAUGUAGGGACUCUCGGCUCCUGCACCACAUCGGCCUGCGUGCCGCCAUGCUCCCCGCCCUGAUGAUAACGGGCUGAACCUCUAAAACUGUAAGCAAGCUCCCUCGAUUAAACGUUUUCACUUACCAGGGUUGCCGUGGCCACGGCGUCUCUCCAUAGCAAUAGAAACCUCACUCAAGACAACACAGUUCUGGGAACCUUUCCAAAACUGCCCAGCAGACAUCCUCUGACUGACACUGAGUCCUUGGCGUGUCUAAAAGCAUUGCUAGAAACGGGAGUGGAGUGGUACCUGAUACUUUUGACAAGGCCUCGUCCUAAGAGGUUUUCCCAAAGGCGCACCUGCCGUCAUAUGAAAAUGCCUGUGAAUGUGAUUGUUCGGUACAGCACUGUAUAUAACUGCAGUCCAAACGCUCAGAAGAGAGAGUUAGAACGCCUUCGGUCGAGGUGGUGAGCUGCUGAGCUGCUGAGCUGCUGUAACCACACUGGAAGGAGCCCUUGCCUUUAGCUCUCUGACAAUGGAGACAAUAGAUUCCCAAAGUACU